ensembl:snoRNA SNORA62 Small nucleolar RNA SNORA62/SNORA6 family
UCUGCACAUUGUUAGAGCUUGGAGUUGAGGCUGCUGGCUGGCCGAUGAACUCACAAGUGUAGGUAGUGUGCUACAUGAGGGGCAAGUUUUUCGCUAACACCACAAGGGUCUCUGGCCCAAUGAGUGGAGUUUGAUAGUAAUUCUUGCUACAAGU